rnacentral:rRNA from 1 species
UACGUAGGGCGCAAGCGUUGUCCGGAAUUAUUGGGCGUAAAGAGCUCGUAGGCGGUUUGUCGCGUCUGUCGUGAAAGCUUGGGGCUUAACCCCAAGUCUGCGGUGGAUACGGGCAGACUAGAGGCAGGUAGGGGAGAACGGAAUUCCCGGUGUAGCGGUGAAAUGCGCAGAUAUCGGGAGGAACACCUGUGGCGAAGGCGGCCCCCUGGUUGGAUACUGACGCUGAUACGCGAGAGCGUGGGGAGCAAACAGG